ensembl:snRNA U6 U6 spliceosomal RNA
GUGUUCUUGAUUUGACAGCACAUAUACUAAAACUGGAACAGUACAGAGAAAAUUGACAUGACUCCUACACAUGGAUGACACACAAAUUUAUGAAGCAUUCCAUAUAUUU